CACGUAGGGCGCAAGCGUUGUCCGGAAUUAUUGGGCGUAAAGAGCUCGUAGGCGGUCUGUUGCGUCUGCUGUGAAAACCCGGGGCUUAACCCCUGGCUUGCAGUGGAUACGGACAGACUAGAGGUAGGUAGGGGAGAAUGGAAUUCCUGGUGUAGCGGUGAAAUGCGCAGAUAUCAGGAAGAACACCCGUGGCGAAGGCGGUUCUCUGGGACGGUACUGACGCUGAGACGCGAAAGCGUGGGGAGCAAACAGG
rnacentral:rRNA from 1 species